CCCUUAGAUGUUCUGGGCCGCACGCGCGCUACACUGAUGCAUUCAACGAGUUUCUUCCUGGUCCGAGAGGAAUGGGUAACCUUUUGAAAGUGCAUCGUGAUAGGGAUAGACUAUUGCAAUUAUUUGUCUUCAACGAGGAAUUCCUAGUAGACGUAGUUCAUCAGACUGCAUCGAUUACGUCCCUGCCCUUUGUACACACCGCCCGUCGCUCCUACCGAUUGAAUGCUCAGGUGAGCCAUUCGGACUUUCAUCAUGCUGGUUUCCAGUUUUGAUGAAGGAAAGUCUUGCGAACCUUAUCAUUUAGAGGAAGGAGAAGUCGUAACA
rnacentral:rRNA from 1 species